UACGGAGGGUGCAAGCGUUAAUCGGAAUUACUGGGCGUAAAGCGCGCGUAGGCGGCUAAGUAAGUCGGGUGUGAAAGCCCCGGGCUCAACCUGGGAACUGCAUCCGAUACUGUUUAGCUAGAGUAUGAGAGAGGGAGGUAGAAUUCCACGUGUAGCGGUGAAAUGCGUAGAUAUGUGGAGGAAUACCGGUGGCGAAGGCGGCCUCCUGGCUCAAUACUGACGCUGAGGUGCGAAAGCGUGGGGAUCAAACAGG
rnacentral:rRNA from 1 species